rnacentral:lncRNA from 1 species
UGAAGUGCCAUGGAAUGACCUUUUCCUAUUCCGCUCUUGCUUGACAUGAUAAACAAAAUUGCCAAGCAUUAUCUCAGUUAUUUAAUCAGUUUUAUGGCCCUUCUUUUAGGAUAAUUACUUUUCUGCAUUUCCAUUCAAAAAUAAUAUUAAAUUAAAAAGAUUUCUGGCCUAUCUUUGUUAGAUUCAUGUACCUUUGUUGAAAUAGUGUACUUGAUAGCUAUCCAUUUUCAUAUCAUUUUUUUAAUAUUUUAUAUUUAUUAAAAAAAAUUAUUAUUAAAAAAAAGGCCUCAUUCAUUGGAUUCGCCUUAGGCCCCCAAAUGUAUUGGGCCGCCCCUG